rnacentral:rRNA from 1 species
GGCUCAGGAUGAACGCUAGCGGCAGGCUUAAUACAUGCAAGUCGUGGGGCAGCAUGAGUAGCAAUACUUGAUGGCGACCGGCAAACGGGUGAGGAACACGUACACAACCUUCCUUCAGCGGGGAAUAGCCCAGAGAAAUUUGGAUUAAUACCCCAUAAUAUAUUUGAUAAGGCAUCUUAUUAAUAUUAAAGCUUCGGCACUUGAUGAUGGGUGUGCGGCUGAUUAGAUAGUUGGCGGGGUAACGGCCCACCAAGUCUACGAUCAGUAGCUGAUGUGAGAGCAUGAUCAGCCACACGGGCACUGAGACACGGGCCCGACUCCUACGGGAGGCAGCAGUAAGGAAUAUUGGACAAUGGACGAAAGUCUGAUCCAGCCAUGCCGCGUGAAGGAUUAAGGUCCUCUGGAUUGUAAACUUCUUUUAUAUGGGACGAAAAAGGGCAUUCUUGUUCACUUGACGGUACCAUAUGAAUAAGCACCGGCUAACUCCGUG